CGGUAAUUCCAGCUCCAAUAGCGUAUACUAAAGUUGUUGCAGUUAAAAAGCUCGUAGUUGGAUUUCUGCGGGGACGGAGCGGCCGGACGCAACUUGCGUCUCGAGCUAGCGCUUUCCCCACAUCCUGCCGCGAACCGUGCUACCAUUAGUUUGGUGGCGCUGGGGAUCGGCUCGAUUACUUUGAGAAAAAUAGAGUGUUCAAAGCAGGCCACACGCCUUGAAUAAGUUAGCAUGGAAUAAUGACUAAGGACUUUGGUUCUUUUCGUUGGUGUUCGGGACUGAAGUAAUGAUUGAUAGGGACAGUUGGGGCGGUCCGUAUUCCAAAGCGAGAGGUGAAAUUCUUAGACCUUCGGAAGACGAACAGCUGCGAAAGCGUUCCGCAAGGAUGUUCCCUUUGAUCAAGAACGAAAGUUGGGGGAUCGAAGACGAUCAGAUACCGUCGUAGUCUCAACUAUAAACUAUACCAGCUAGGGAUCGGCCAACGUUUAAUUAUUCGACUUGGUCGGCACCUUAUGAGAAAUCAAAGCAUCUGGGUUCCGGGGGGAGUAUGGUCGCAAGGCUGAAACUUAAAGGAAUUGACGGAAGGGCACCACCAGGCGUGGAGCCUGUGGCUUAAUUUGACUCAACACGGGAAAACUUACCAGGUCCAGACAUAGGAAGGAUUGACAGAUUGAUAGCUCUUUCUUGAUUCUGUGGGUGGUGGUGCAUGGCCGUUUUUAGUCGGUGAAGUGAUUUGUCUGCUUAAUUGCGUUAACGGACGAGACCCCAGCCUGCUAAAUAGCGCGGUCGAGCUUUGCUCGGCACGAGCUUCUUAGAGGGACCAUGAUGCGCGAUAGCACAAGGAAGUUUGGGGCAACAACAGGUCUGUGAUGCCCUUAGAUGUUCUGGGCCGCACACGGGCUACACUGGCGCCUGCAACGAGCAUAUCAGCUGGCCCGAGAGGGUCUUGGCUAAUCUUUGGAACCAGCGCCGUGCUUGGGAUUGACCAUUGCAAUUGUUGGUCAUGCAACGAGGAAUGCCUUGUAAACGCGAGUCAUCAGCUCGCAUUGAAUACGUCCCUGCCCCUUGUACACACCGCCC
rnacentral:rRNA from 1 species